CUUGAAACUGCAACAAACAAUGGUAGAGAUGUUUCCCUUGAGGUCAGAAGAUGCUGCUUAUAGCAAAGUCAGGGGAAUGCUAUCUACGCUUGGAGAUCCCUAUACGCGUAUUAUUAGUCCAAAGGUGAGUAUUUUUAAGGCAGUUCGUUUACACCCAUAGGUAUUAAACCGAUACGCAUUAUUAGUCCUAAGGUGUGUAUUUGUAAGACAGUCCAUUUACACCAAGGAAAUCUCUCUUGUAUGAUUAAGAAAAGUUAUACUAAUCUCUAAUAUCAUUUGAGACGAGGAAUUUUCGUAUCUGUUUCUUUGAUAAACAAACUGAAAGU
rnacentral:lncRNA from 1 species